GGAUUCCCCUAGUAACUGCGAGUGAAGCGGGAAAAGCUCAAAUUUAAAAUCUGGCGGUCUUUGGCCGUCCGAGUUGUAGUCUGGAGAAGUGCUUUCCGCGCUGGACCGUGUAUAAGUCUCUUGGAACAGAGCGUCAUAGAGGGUGAGAAUCCCGUCUUUGACACGGACUACCAGUGCUUUGUGAUGCGCUCUCAAAGAGUCGAGUUGUUUGGGAAUGCAGCUCAAAAUGGGUGGUGAAUUCCAUCUAAAGCUAAAUAUUGGCGAGAGACCGAUAGCGAACAAGUACCGUGAGGGAAAGAUGAAAAGCACUUUGGAAAGAGAGUUAAACAGUACGUGAAAUUGCUGAAAGGGAAACGCUUGAAGUCAGUCGCGUCUGCCGGAACUCAGCCUUCCUUUUGGUUGGUGCACUUUCCGGUAGACGGGCCAGCAUCGAUUUCGACCGUCGGAUAAGGGCUGGGGAAAUGUGGCACCUUCGGGUGUGUUAUAGUCCUCAGUCGCAUACGGCGGCUGGGAUCGAGGAACGCAGCGCGCCGCAAGGCAGGGGUUCGCCCACUUUCGCGCUUAGGAUGCUGGCAUAAUGGCUUUAAACGACCCGUCUUGAAACACGGACCAAGGAGUCUAACAAACCUGCGAGUGUUUGGGUGGAAAACCCGAGCGCGUAAUGAAAGUGAAAG
rnacentral:rRNA from 1 species